GUGUGUUUCCAUCGGCAGGCAGCGGCAGCGCUGGAGCUCCUGGUGCCGUCAAGCAUCCCUUGUCUUCGUCAAUCGGUGCUAUCCCGCAGGCAAGCUCCAAUUCAAUCGCAGCGAGAGCCUGAUGCUUUCUCUCUCGAGGAUUUCCUCUUUGGCUACCAUGGCAUCAUCCUCAACUGCUCUGUCGUCCCUGGCGACUUGUCCAAGCACAAUGUCUGGGACAACAUCUGCUCGAUCUACCAGGAGAUCAGGCGCUGCAAAGAGUUCAAGGACGCUCUGAUAAAAAAGGCAGCGACUGCUGGCAACGACUGCUCAUAUUGUAUAUAUGAAGCUAUAUAUACAUGGGCUGUGGCAACUGCCUAAUGCCACAUCAUCCUAACUGCCUAGCUAAGCAUCUACCUGAGCAUCUAAUCUCAACACUCCCACUCAGGCGUGUCUACAAACUGAGACAAAGCCUGAACAUAAGA